rnacentral:rRNA from 1 species
AACGUAGGUGGCGAGCGUUAUCCGGAUUUACUGGGCGUAAAGGGUGUGCAGGCGGGGUAUCAAGUGGUGUAUGAAAGGAGGCGGCUCAACUGCCUCGAUGUUAUGCCAGACUGAUGCUCUUGAGGACCAAACGAGGGCUGUGGAAUUCCGGGUGUAGUGGUGAAAUCGCGUAGAGAUCCGGAGGAACCCCAGAGGCGAAGGCGGCAGCCUGGUUCGGCUCCUGAC